rnacentral:tRNA from 1 species
GGGGCUGUAGCUCAGUUUGGGAGAGCAUCAGAAUGGCAUUCUGGGGGUCACCGGUUCGAUCCCGGUCAGCUCCACCA